rnacentral:piRNA from 1 species
GGAGCAUCGAUAUGUGUGUGUCUGGUUUGC